rnacentral:rRNA from 1 species
UACAGAGGGGGCAAGCGUUGUUCGGAAUUACUGGGCGUAAAGGGCGCGUAGGCGGCCCGCUAAGUCGAACGUGAAAUCCCCGAGCUCAACUCGGGAACUGCGUCCGAGACUGGCGGGCUUGAAUCCGGGAGAGGGAUGCGGAAUUCCAGGUGUAGCGGUGAAAUGCGUAGAUAUCUGGAGGAACACCGGUGGCGAAGGCGGCAUCCUGGACCGGUAUUGACGCUGAGGCGCGAAAGCUAGGGGAGCAAACAGG